AAAUUAAUAAAAAAAAUAUAUGCUUAAAAGAACCACUUGAAAUAAAUAAUUGAAAAAAAAAUAUUAACAUUAAAUAAAUAUGAAAAUAAAAAUUAAAUAAAAUCAAAUAAAACAUUAAGAGAUGUGAAAAGUAUUUUUGGUAUUUUUUAUUAAUAAAUAAAAUAUUUUUAAGAAUUAAAAACAAAACAGAAAAAUAAAAGUGAAUUAAUUUUAAAAAAAGGAAAUGAAAAUAGGAUGGUAUAAUAGUA
rnacentral:lncRNA from 1 species